rnacentral:rRNA from 1 species
UACGAGGGGGGCGAGCGUUGUUCGGAAUUAUUGGGCGUAAAGGGCGCGUAGGCGGACUGUCAAGUCAGGGGUGAAAGCCCGCGGCUCAACCGCGGAAGUGCCUUUGAUACUGGCGGUCUCGAGGGAGGUAGGGCGUGCGGAACUUCCGGUGGAGCGGUGAAAUGCGUAGAUAUCGGAAGGAACACCGGUGGCGAAAGCGGCGCGCUGGACCUCUUCUGACGCUGAGGCGCGAAAGCCAGGGGAGCGAACGGG